UCACUGAUGUGAUCCUGUUGUUGAAAUGUCUAUUAUUAUCGAUGCUGAGAUUUCAGAUUUGUAGAACAGCCAUGGAAAGGGAUAUUGGAAAAAGAAAGUUCAAAGGCCAUCCUUCAAAAAAAGAAGAGCGUACCAAGACAGCUGUGACAACCGCCAUGAUGAGAUGAAGUACAGAAGCUGAACCAACGCUAACUUGGGGCUGGCUCUUCCAUCGAACUGCUACAAUGAAGGAGAGAAAGAGCAUCAGACCCAGAUCAGGCAAGGCAAUGCACACUUGCAACUCCCAGCACGUGAAGAGGCUGAAGCACAAUUGAAUUCCAGGCCAGCCUGGACUACACCACCCCCGAAACAAAAACAAAAUCAAAUGCACAAAAAAGAAACCCACUACUACACUCAAACUGGAGCUCAUUUAAAUACCUUUAUUUUUCA